UGGGGCGAUCGAUGGCUCGAGUCGUGGCGAUUG
rnacentral:ribozyme from 1 species